rnacentral:misc_RNA from 1 species
CCGAGUUAUACAAACUCAUCAACCCUGUGAACAUACCUAUAACGUUGCCUCGGCGGGAACAGACGGCCCCGUAACACGGGCCGCCCCCGCCAGAGGACCCCCUAACUCUGUUUCUAUAAUGUUUCUUCUAAGUAAACAGCAAAUAAAUUA